GGGGCCAUAUACUUCAGGGGGAGAGUUUUUGCUUUGCAUGCAGAAGGUCUCAGGUUCAAGUCCUGACAUCUCCA